UGAGGGAUAGUUUAAUCGGCAAAACGACGGAUUCUGGCUCCGUUGAUCCUGGUUCGAGUCCAGGUCCCUCAGCUA
rnacentral:tRNA from 1 species